rnacentral:misc_RNA from 1 species
CAGAGUGUACAAACUCCCAAACCCCUGUGAACAUACCACUUUGUUGCCUUCGGCGGGAUCAGCCCCGGCGCCUGUGUAGACCGGAGUCAGGCCCGCCAGAGGGACCCCUAAACUCUGUUUCUAACGAUGUAUCUUCUGAGUAAACCGUAUAAAUAAAUCA